AGGGUGCAAGCGUUAUCCGGAUUCACUGGGUUUAAAGGGUGCGUAGGUGGGCAAGUAAGUCAGUGGUGAAAUCUCCGGGCUUAACCCGGAAACUGCCAUUGAUACUAUUUGUCUUGAAUACUGUGGAGGUCAGCGGAAUAUGUCAUGUAGCGGUGAAAUGCUUAGAUAUGACAUAGAACACCAAUUGCGAAGGCAGCUGGCUACACAAAUAUUGACACUGAGGCACGAAAGCGUGGGGAUCAAACAGG
rnacentral:rRNA from 1 species